rnacentral:lncRNA from 1 species
UCGUCACUUGAAGUGACGGGGAGAUAAAGCAUUUGUUUUUAUUUUUUAUUUUUUAAUAUUUUAAAUAAUUUAUUAAAUACUAAUAAUAAUUAAUAUAAUUGAUUUUUAAUUAUUAAUUUUAUAUUUAAUUAAUAUAAUUGAUUUAAUUAAAAAUAAUAAUAAUUUUUUUAUAAAAAAAUAUUUAAAAUAAAUAGUAAAUAAUUAUAGUUUUUCAUGAUAAUAAAAAAA